GUUUCCUUGGCACAGCACUAUGCAAUUCAGCCUAACAAGAGAUAUUGCGAAGGAACUUAACAUUCGAAAGUGACCAAUGCCAACGCUGGCCUAGUAUAUAAUUCCUCGGUCUUUGUGAAUGAAUUGAGUUUCUAGAGUGAGAAUGAUGCCGUGGAUUGAAGAAGGAGGAGGUGGAAAAAGUGGUGACCUUUCUGCUAGUACUUCUACUGGUACAAGUACUAGUUCUAUAUACACGCUGCGGUCUCGCAAGGUAAUUAGGCAACAUGUACCCUCUGGUUUCCCAAAACGGAAGCGAAGUCGUCCCGGCAUUUUUAAACCCUCGAAAGCUAGCACUGUUUGUUGCCUCCUCCUUCCUUUGCUUUCCUCCCUUUAGUUAAUGCCCAAAGCUAGCACUGUUUGUUGCCUCCAUAAAAACUCAUGUUCAUGCACUAUAAAGUACAGUAGCAUAUAUCAAAUUCUUACUCGUCCUCAAGUCAAAUCAAAGAGAAGCGAACCAAAACAACGAACACACAAAAAUCUUCACCCCUUAGCCACUUUAAAAUAUUUGGGUCGUUUUAGUUUAUUUUGCCUUAUAAUCUACUACGUAUUAUUUAUUUUUCUUUGGAGGAUAGUAUAUAAGAACUCAAUUAUUUAGCUUUGAGGUUAAGGAGUUGUUCAUAUUUUUGAGGAGUUCUCUCAACUUUCAUGGAGAACUAAACCUUGUUCUUCUUGGAUCAAUUAAAUUGAAGCUUUUUGAUUAA